GACGAACGCUGGCGGCGUGCUUAACACAUGCAAGUCGAACGGAAAGGCCCUGCUUGCAGGGUGCUCGAGUGGCGAACGGGUGAGUAACACGUGGGUGAUCUGCCCCUUACUUUGGGAUAAGCCUGGGAAACUGGGUCUAAUACUGGAUAGGACCAUGCUGUAGGUGGUGUGGUGGAAAGAUUAGUUUCGGUAAGGGAUGAGCUCGCGGCCUAUCAGCUUGUUGGUGGGGUAAUGGCCUACCAAGGCGUCGACGGGUAGCCGGCCUGAGAGGGUGGACGGCCACAUUGGGACUGAGAUACGGCCCAGACUCCUACGGGAGGCAGCAGAGGGGAAUAGUGCACAAUGGGCGCAAGCCGGAUGCAGCGACGCCGCGUGGGGGAUGACGGCCUUCGGGUUGUAAACUCCUUUCAGCCAUGACGAAGCCCUUGUGGUGACGGUAGUGGUAGAAGAAGCACCGGCUAACUACGUG
rnacentral:rRNA from 1 species